GCUCCGCCCCCGACAAGAUGGCGCCCGUCGCCUUCCCUCAGCGCCUGCCCGCCAUGGCGGCCCCGUACCGGCCGGCCGGUGGUUGUAAAUGGUGCGUUAUGAGGCGAUUCUGAGGCGAGGCGAGUCCUCCCGAGGUGCAUCGCUAUGAUUUUUAGAGUUUUCUGCUUGAGGAGUGAUGGACACAUCAGCCAUGCAGCAGAUCGGCUCCAGAAGCAUAGAGCUGUGUGUUUCAGACCCAUGGCAGAUCCCUGCUGCUCCAAUAACCCACAUUGGAAGAGACGUAUGCUUUCUCUCCAAGCCUGUCGGCCAAAAAAAAAAAAUCGACAUUCCUAAUUGAUUUUGAUGCUGGGAACUUGUGUUAAUUUUGCCCGGAGAGGUUGUGGAUGCCCCAGUCUCUGGAUGGGGCUCUGGGCUGCCUGAUCCAGUGGUUGGCAACACUGCCCAUGGCGAGCAGCUCAUUGGAGCUAAUGAUCUUUAAGGUCCCUUCCAACCUAAGCCAUUCUGUGGUUCUGUGAUUAAUUUAUCUUCUGCCCUUUUCAAGUAUGUAUACUUCUCAGAUGUGUUGGGGCCCAUUGGCUCACUCUACCCUUUAUGUCUUGUUGCCCUUCUGGGAAGCCACAGCCUAAUGCCAUCUCCAGUAAUUCCUACUUUUUCUCCCAUAGCAAAGCUCUGCUUUAAGCAGCAGUGCUAAUUUACAGUAGGUGUCCUUGAGAUAAUAUUGACUGAUGCUGAGCUUUCUCCCCAAACCAGCCCACUUUGUGAUUUGAUUAAGGUGCCUUGUAGCUGUAACAGGAAACCAAGUCGAUAGGAAAACCUCUGCUCUUUCUGGGCCAGUGACAUUAAUUGUAAUCCAUUGCAUCAUUUCACCCAGACCUGCGAUUCUCUGUUGAUCUUCCAGGUCUUUGCCUUAAUAGUUGCUGUUUGCAGAGUUCAGCUGCUCGGAGUGUUUACUGAGUAUUUGCUCACCAGCUGUCUGACCCCUUCCAUCCACUGCCCAUGUAAAGAGGGUUUCAUCGGAUCCCACUAAAACCCAGGAGCUUAUUUUAAGACCGUAGACUCUAUGAGGCUCCUGGAGCAUUUGUGUUUCCUAUCCUUGUGCAUCGUUCAGUUCCACGUUCACUGAGGUACUCUGCUUGUUAAGCUUCUAAAAGGCUUUCAAAUUAACCAUAUGGAGGACUAUACAGGACACAGAUAAGUCACAAAGCAUCUUUUCUGCUUUGUAUGCUCUUGACUAUGGGUAUCGAUCCCUAAGCAUUACUCAGUGCUUGGCUUUAACCCAAAUAUAUACAUAUAUUUAAUUGCAGCUUUUAAACAUUAAUAGACUAUGUUUGUUAGGGCAGAGGAGCAUUCAGCCAUGAUAAAAGAGACAUUUUAGUACUGCAAGAUUGAUUGAGACUGCAGCAGUUUCACCGCUGACAGGAGUUUGUAUAGGAAGAUGGAUUGUAUGUAUCCAGUGAUUCAGUCUCCCUAUGAGGACUUCUCGUGUUCAGAAAUCAUUCUCAGAGCCACAGCUCUAAGAUUUCUUUUAAAUCCACAUUCACAAAUAAAUGUUCUAAUUUUACCAACGUGGCAUCCCUCAGUUUUUGACUGCAGAGUGGAAUACAGGUAAGCCAAGAGAUCUGCAAGUGGGAAGUUCAUGAGUCAGCCUGAAAUUUAACAGAUAGAGACCUCAAGGUCAAAAUAAUGACAAGGACAAGCAAAGGAAGGAUGAUAAACAUGGAUUUAGUGCUCUAAAAAUUGAGUUGGACACCAUUAGAUUCCCUGGAUCCAGGGGCUCAAACCCAGCAAAAGCACUCUCAGGCCUUUGUUCCUGUGAAAUAGACAAAUUACCUUCCAGGUGGAUUUCUGUGUUGUCAAAUUUCAGAAAAUACCCUGACAUUUCUAUGGGUUAUGGAGCUGGAGCCCACUUGGUAUGGUCACACUACCCUCCUGCUGAAGUGUAAAUUGUCUUGCUGGGAUUAUUGGCAUGUAUCAUUCUUCAUAAUUAAAAUGAGGACUUUAUAAACACUAUCAGCCUGAGUGAUUCAUGGGACCAUAAACAAGCUGGAGGGAGCAGAGAUACAGGAUAUGCAUUUGCAUGUCCUUCAUAACAACAGCAAGUAUAAAGGAAAAUUAGCAGCCAUUAAUCAUGUAAUGUGCAGAUCUUGGAGAUCUUAAAGGGGUGACCUUCCUUUUGCAGUUUUCCUUUAUAUGUAAUCUAGGAGAUUAUCAGAAGGGAAGAGAUGUGAGGUCCUCAGAGCUCACCUGAAUUUGCCUGAACAGGUGAAGUGUUGCUGCAUCCAGACACCAAGUCGCCACAGAAUGCUUGUCUGUUGUCCCAGUUAAACCAGUGUGAAAUACCUGUCCAUCUAAAAUACAUCUCCUGAAUCCCUCUUCUAAUUGCCCUAACUUCCUAAAUUCCUAUAAGUACUCUGAAAAUGCUCAGUUCCUCAGCUAAGAUCAACAGUCCUGUAGUCCUGAUUCCUCCCAUUGUGGUUUGUGCUAAUCGGUCAUUACGCUUGCUUUCAUAAUGCAGGAUAAAUAUUACAGUAUUAAUGUAAUCACAGUAGUAACAAGUAGGGAAUACAUGAGCGAAUAGUCUGUUGUGAUUUUUGCCAGCUCUGAAUCACUGGAACACCUCAACAGUAGCAUGCAAGUAGGGACUUGAUUUUGUGAUGAGGUUGUGCCCAUGUGAAAAUAGAAGUCUGCUGAGCUGGGUGUCCUUCCCUGCAGCCAGAGAACACAAUAUUACUGUGAUAGUCCAGGUAACUAAUGAGUAUGUUCCCUAAGCAUGCCAGUUUGACUUUGUUUGUUUCUUCAUGGGUCUGUAAAAAUAAAGUGGUAAGGACAGGACUACAGAAGGUCAGGGCUUUCUUGAGAUGCAGUGCGUAGAUUACUGGCAUAAAUUUAAAUUCUGAAGUCUUUUUGGCUGGCAUCUCCUCUGUUUACUCAAAAUUCCCAGUUUAAACUGAAACAUCACCUCCAUUUGGACAUGAGUCACUGAUCUGAAUACAGGAUCUCCAAAAGAGUAAAUUACAACCUCAAAUCCGGUUAUAUCCAGAGAUGGUUGUUUUGGAACUGGGAUCUGUAGGAAUUUUCCAACUGCCUAUCUUAUGCAGUAAAAAAAAAAAAAGCCAGAAAAUUUUUUAAAAAUAAUAAUAAAAAAGAAAAAUAAAAAAGAUGUUUGCCUUAAUCACAUUAACAGUAUUUCCUAUGGAUCCCACAGGUGGUGUUCAGGAGUUUAGAACAACCCAGCAUGGAACAUAUACAUGGACAAUAAAUAGACAUAUCUCUACUGGAUUACACAAAAUGAAAACAAACCCCCUGGUAUUUCCACAGCUGCCUAAGAGGAGAAAGGAGCCUGAGAAAAGGCAGUUUGUAGGUCACCAGCUGUGAUAGCUUUCCUUCUUCUUCUGGAGUACGGUGUAAGUGAAGACAACGCUGAACGGAGCAGACUCUGGAUUUCUAUUCUAUGAGGUUCCAGCUGCCAGUACUGCUGAACUGCUGGAGCCAUGUCUCCCUGACCCUGAGAUUUCAUGGCAGCAGAAGAGGAACUGUAAGAAGCACGUGGCUAACAGCUCUGGACAUUUUUGCUUUGCUGGUCCACAUUCACACUGGCAUUUUGCUUGCAGCCACCCAUCAGAUGAAGCCUGUGUCACUGGGAGAAAUGAUGUCCAGGCAGGAGACAAGCUGAGUUUUGCCAUCUUACAUCAAGUUCAAUGAGUGGCUGCUGUUCAAAGCUGUAGCAGUAAAUGGAGCUUCUGUUGACAAAUGUGUAUGGACAGAGCCAGGCCAAAAAGUGACUUAUUCCUACUUAACUCACUUCCAUAAGGGUGUGGACAUUGUGCUGUGUGAAAAUCAUUUGGAAGCCCAUUAGAGGAGUUUUGCAGCACAGUGUGAAAUAGGUUACGUUAAGUGACCUCCACUGGGAAUUCAAAUAAAGACCCUUUGCUUUGUAAAGGA